rnacentral:rRNA from 1 species
UACGGAGGGUGCGAGCGUUGUCCGGAAUCACUGGGCGUAAAGGGCGCGUAGGUGGCGCGAGUAGUCAACGGUGAAAGCCCGGGGCUCAACCCCGGGUCGGCCGUCGAUACUCUCGUGCUUGAGCACUGUAGAGGCAGGUGGAAUUCCGGGUGUAGCGGUGGAAUGCGUAGAGAUCCGGAAGAACACCGGUGGCGAAGGGCGGCCUGCUGGGCAGUAGCUGACACUGAGGCGCGACAGCGUGGGGGAGCAAACAGG